rnacentral:rRNA from 1 species
UACAGAGGUGCCAAGCGUUAGGCGGAAUCACUGGGCUUAAAGCGCGUGUAGGCGGGUCGUAAGUGUCUUGUGAAAUCCCACGGCUCAACCGUGGAACUGCUGGGCAUACUGACGAUCUUGAGGCACUCAGGGGCUGUCGGAACAAAUGGUGGAGCGGUGAAAUGCGUAGAUAUCAUUUGGAACGCCAACGGUGAAAACAGACAGCUGGGGGUGUCCUGACGCUGAGACGGCGAAAAGCCAGGGGAGCGAACGGG